CACGUAGGGGGCAAGCGUUGUCCGGAUUUAUUGGGCGUAAAGAGCUCGUAGGUGGUUCGGUAAGUCGGGUGUGAAAACUCUGGGCUCAACUCAGAGACGCCACCCGAUACUGCUGUGACUCGAGUCUGGUAGGGGAGUGUGGAAUUCCCAGUGUAGCGGUGAAAUGCGUAGAUAUCGGGAAGAACACCAGUGGCGAAAGCGCUCUGCUGGACCAUAACUGACACUGAGGGACGAAAGCUAGGGGAGCGAAAGGG
rnacentral:rRNA from 1 species